rnacentral:lncRNA from 1 species
GCCUGAUCGAAAGCAAAUAUAGUGAAUUUAUCUAUACUAAAUGGAUAUAGUUUCGGACAUGAAUAUCAAAAAUAAAAAUCCGACGGAUUUUCAUUUGAGUAUGGAUUUUGAUUGCAUCCGAUCCGAACCCAAAACCAACCGGAACUCGAAUUUAUUUUAUGUUAUAUAUAACAUAUACAAAUAUUUGAUAUUAUAUUUGAAUAUGUAUUUUAAAAAUUUAGAUUUAAUUUAAUAUAUUUUAAAUAUUGUAAAGAGAAAUAAUGUUUCUGAGUUCGGAUAUCCAGAUUCAGAUUAGGGUUUGGGUUUCGGAUUUUAAGUCAGGUACGAAUGUGGAUAUAAUUUUCUAAAAUUCGUUGGAUUUGGAUUUGAGUUCAGGUUUCGGAUUUGAUAGUCGGAUUCGUAUUCGGGUUCGAAUUUUUGAAAAUUCGCCCCGAAUCCGACUCCUUUACAUCUCUAUUGUGGACGAAAAGAAAAGAUGAAAAGAAAAAAAGAAACAAAGAGAGAACAGAGAUUUGAUAAUAUAGUAAAAAUAAAAUUAUUAAACUAUCUAUAUAUUAAAAGAUUAAAAUAUUUCUCUUCACGAUACCUAAUAACUUAUAUUUCUCUCAAAGUGACAUGUAUAUAUAUAUAUAUAUAAUUGAGCUAGAAUACUUUUAGAAGCAUUAACCCCUUGAUACUUCUAUGUUUCUAGCCUUUGGAUCUACUCCUUAAUUACUAAUAGCCUUUGGAUCAAACACUAUUCCACCUAUCACCACCUAUCAUCAUCAUCUCAACCAUACCCAUCCAAUGGCUAAAAACUCAAAAGCACUACUCUUUUGAUAUUUUUGAAAGUAUUUUAGCUCAACUCUAUAUGAGUCCGGCUGGGAUACUAUCGAUAGCACAAAGCAUUUGGAGCUAUCAAGUUUUCUGCCGUUAGAUUUAUCUUUUUUAUCAUUUUUAUCAUUUUAGCUCAACUCUCUCUCUCUCUCUCUCUCUCUCUCUCUCUCUCUCUAUAUAUAUAUAUAUAUAGAAUUGAUCUCCUAUGCUUUUAAAAGUUCCAAGUCAUUGGUGCUUGUAAGCUUUCGGCCUUUGGAUUAAGGAAUGUGCGGUUAGGAUGAUGUGGGCCCUCUAGGGUUGAGUGGGUGGUUGGUUAAAUAGUAUAAUCUAACAGGUGAAAAUGAUCCAAGGCAUAAAUCUAACGGUAAAAAAUUUACAAGCACCAAGUACUUGGUGCUUUUGCAAGUACCAUAGCCGGACUCUAUAUAUAUAUAUAUAUAUAUAUAUAUAUAUAGAACUAAGCUGCAAUACUAUUAAUAGCACCAUGACUUGGUGCUAUUAAGUUUUCUGUCCUUGGAUUAAAAAAUGUGUGGUUAGGAUGAUGUGGACCCCCAAGGGUUGAGUGGUGGUUGGUUGAAUAGUAUAAUCGAACGGAUAAAAAUGAUAAAAGAGGUAAAUCUAACGGUAGAAAACUUGAUAGCACCAAAUACUUUGUGCUAUCGACAGUAUCCAGCCGGACUAUAUAUAUAUAUAUAUAUAUAUAU